GCCCUCCCCAACGCUGCGUUUCCAUGCUACAAACAGAGAGACACGCUUCGCGCUGUCUCUCAAUAACUCCUCGCAUGUGGGAAAUUCGGAGUAAGCCUCACCCAUCACCGACAUCUGGCAUCUGCUGGAAUCGUUGGUCUGCCGGUAACGGCCUGGCGUCAAUGUCACGUCUGCAACAGAUAUCAGAAAUACUCAGAGCGCGUGCUUUCGUCACGCUGUCUCUAUGGGAACGUCUUUGCGAGGCUCGUUUUGGGAAAAACUGAAGUGCGAUACGCGGCGUCCUGUCCCCUUCGCGGGCUGGAUGACUCAAUUCCGAUCACUCUGGGGAGGGC
rnacentral:RNase_P_RNA from 3 species